rnacentral:lncRNA from 1 species
UUUCUCUUUUGCUUUUGUGGGAAUGACCAAACUAUGGCACUGUAUCAAACUGAAUUGUGUGUGUUACUUUCAAACUAUGAAGCUUCCGCUACUUGAGAACUUGGUUUGUAAUAAUUUUAAGCACUCCGGUGUAUUUGAUGAAUGUUUGUGAACUGGAUGUAAUUGUGAAUGGUGGCCGCUGAACUUAUUAUGAUCUUGG